rnacentral:lncRNA from 1 species
AGCAGUUGAAGAAAAACAUGAAGAACCAACUGUUGAAGAGAAACCUAGAGAACUAGCGGUUACGGAGAAACAUGAAGAACCAGCGAUUGAGGAAAAACCUGAAAAACCAGCUGUGGAAGAAAAACUUGAAGAACCAGAGGUCGAGGAGAAACAUGAAAAACCAGCAGCUGAAGAGAAACCUAAAGAACUAGUAGUUGAAGAAAAAGCUGAAGAACCAACACGGGAAGAAACACCGGAAGAACUAGAAUUUGAAGAGAAACCUGAAGAACCAACUGUUGAAGAAACACCUGAACAAUUAGCAGUUGAAGAGAAAUCUGAAAAACCAGUGGUUAAAGAGGAGAAAUCUGAAAAGGUAACUCUCUUGGAAAAGGUGAGGAUCAAGCACUAUCACAAAGUUUAUCCAUCCUAUUAGUUUUGUACGUGCAAAGAUUCAUAUCUACUUAUCUAUUGAAAGAUUAAGUGAAACUUUAAAUUCUUCUUGCAGAAUAUGUCAGUUGUAGAUUUCAAUGACAAGACUAACAGUGAAAUUCCAUGCAAUACCAACAAUGAUGUUGCCGACUAUGUAUCAGUUGAGGCAAACCUUGAAGAACCAGUAGUUGAAGAAAAACCUGAAGAACCAACGGUUGAGAAGAAACCUGAAGAACCAGCUGUUGAAGAGAAAUCUGAAAAACCAUCAAUUGAGGAGAAACGUGAAGCACCAGCAUUUGAGAAGAAACCUGAAGAACCAACAAUUGAGGAGAAACAUGAAGAACAAACAAUUGAAGAGGAGAAACCUGAAAGGGUAACUCUCCUGGAAAAGGUGAGGAUCAAGCAUUGUCACAAAGUUUAUCCAUCUUAUUAGUUGUGUAUACGAUACGAUUUACAUAUGCUUACCUACUGAAAGACUAAGUAAGACUUUAAAGUUCUUUUCUUGCAGAGUAUGCCAGUUGUAGUCUCGAACGACAAAACUGACAGUAAAAUUCCAAGCAUUACCAACAAUAAUGAUGCUCGCUUUUCAGAAGUUGAGGAAAACCCUGAAGAACCUGAAGUUAAAGAAAAACCUGAAGAACCAACAGUUGAGGAGAAACCAGAAGAACCAACAGCUGAAGAGAAACCUGAAGAACCAGCAACUAAAGAAAAACAAGUGCAGAUAGGGGAGGAAACAGCUGAAGAACUACCGCUUGAAGAGAAACCUGAAGAACUAACGAUUGAACAGACAGAUGAAAAACUAGUUGUUGAAAAUAAAACUGAAAAACCAGCAAAUAAAGAGGAGAAACCUGAAACGGUAACUCUCCUUAAGCAGUGUCACAGAGUUUAUCCAUCCUAUUAGUUCUAUAUGUGUAACGAAUUCAUAUCUGUUUAUCUAUUGAAAUACUAAGUGAAAAUUUAAAUUUUCUUGCAGAAUUUGCCUAUUGCAGACUCAAAGGACAAGACUGACAUUGCAAUUCCAUGCGAUACCAGCAAUGAUAUUGCUGACUAUGCAACAGUUGAGGAAAAACCUGAAGAACCAGUAGUUGAAGAAAAACAUGAAGAACCUGCAAUUGAAAAGAAAUUUGAAGAACCAGCAGUUAUGGAGAAACCUGAAGAACCAGCGGCAAAGGUAAAACCUGAAGAACCAGCAGGGAAAGAAAAACCUGAAGAGCCAACGGCUGGGGAAAAACCUGAAGAACCAGCAGCAAAUGAGGAACCUGAAAAAUCAGCGAUGAAAGAGAAACCUGAAGAACCAAUUGUUGAGGAGAAACUUGAAGAACCAACUGUUGAAGAGAAACCUGAAAAACCACUGAUUGAAGAAACACCUGAAGAACCAACAUGGGAAGAAACACCUAAAGAACUAGCAUUUGAAGAGAAACCAGAAGAACCAGCAGUUGAAGAGGAGAAACCUGAAAAGGUAACUCUUAUGGAAGAGGUGAGUAUCAAGCAUUAUCACAUAGUUUAUCCAUCUAUGUGCAACAAUUCACAUAUGCUUAUCUAUUGAAAGACUAAAUGAAACUUUAAAUUCUUCUUGCAGAAUAUGCCAGCUGUAGAUUUCAACGACAAGACUGACCGUGAAAUUCAAUGCAAUAACAAUGAUGUUGCUGAAUAUGUAGCAGUUGAGGAAAACCUUGAACCAGCAGUUGAAGAAAAACAUGAAGAACCAACAGUUGAGGAGAAACCUGAAGAACUAGCAGUUGAAGAGAAACCCGAAAAACCAACAAUUGAGGAGAAACCUGAAGAACUAGCAGUUGAAGAGAAACCCGAAAAACCAACAAUUGAGGAGAAACAUGAAGAACCAAUAGUUGAGAAGAAACCUGAAGAAUCAAUAAUUGAAAAGGAGAAAUCUGAAAGGGUAACUUUCCUAGAAAAGGUGAGGAUCAAGCAUUGUCAAAAGGUUUAUCCAUCUUAUUACUAUUAGUUGUGUAUGUGCAACAAUUCACAUCUGCUUACCUAUUGAAAGACCAAGUGAAACUUCAAAAUUCUUCUUGCAGAGUAUGCUAGUUGUAGACUCGAACGACAAGACUGACAGUGAACUUCCAUGCAAUACCAACAACGAUGCUGCCCACUUUCCAGAAGUUGAGGGAAACCCCGAAGAACCAGCAAUUGAAGGAAAAUCUAAAGAACUUGUUGAUGAAGAGACACCUGAUGUACCAGUGGUUGAGAAACCUGAAAAACAAAUGGUUGAGGAGAAACUUGAAGAACCAAUGAUUGAGGAGAAAUCUGACGAACUAGUCGAGGAGAAAUCUCAACAACCAGCGGCUGAAAAGAAACCUGAAGAACCAGCAGCUAAAGAAUCACCUAAAGAGGUAGCAGGGGAGGAAACAUCUGAAGAACUAGCACUUGAAGAGAAACUUAAAGAACCAACAGUUGAAGAGAUACCUAAAGAACUAGUUCUUGAAGAUAAACCUGGAAACCCAGAAAAUGAAGAGGAUAAACUUGAAACAGUAACUCUCCAGGAAAAGGUAAGAAACAAGCAGUGUCACAGAGUUUAUCCAUCCUAUUAGCUCUAUAUAUGCAACGAAUUCACAUCUGUUUAUCCACUGAAAGACCAAGUGAAACUUUAAAUUUUCUUGCAGAAUUUACCAAUUGCAGACUCAAAGGACAAGACUGACAAUGCAACUCCCUACAACAACAAUGAUAUUGCUGACUAUGUAGCAGUUAAGGAAAAAACUGAAGAACCAGUAGUUGAGGAAAAACAUGAAGAACCGGCAAUUGAAGAGAAAUCUGAAGAAUCAGCAUUAAUGAAAAAAACUGAAGAACCAGCGGUUGAGGUAAAACCUGAAGAACCGUCAGUGGAAAAGAAGCCUGAAGAACCAGCGGUUAGGAAAAAACCUGAAGAACCAGCAGUUAAUGAGGAACCUGAAAAAUCAGCAACGGAAGAGAAACCUGAAGAACCAAUUGUUGAGGAGAAACUUGAAGAACCAACUCUUGAAGAGAAACCUGGAAAAUCAGUAAUUGAAGAAACACCUGAAGAACCAACACUGGAAGUAACACCUAAAGAACAAGCGUUUAAAGAGAAACCAGAAGAACCAGCAGUUGAAGAGGAAAAAUCUGACAAGGUAACUCUUUUGGAAAAGGUGAG